rnacentral:misc_RNA from 1 species
UUAGAGGAAGUAAAAGUCGUAACAAGGUUUCCGUAGGUGAACCUGCGGAAGGAUCAUUACAGAAAGUAAACGCGGAUCAAACCGCGAACUUCUAAACCUUUGACGAUUGACUCAUGUUGCCUCGGCGGGUCCUCCCGCCAGAGGAUACAUCAAAACUCCUGUUUUAACGGUGUUGUCUGAGCUAUAAGCAACGAAUCAAAACUUUCAACAACGGAUCUCUUGGUUCUGGCAUCGAUGAAGAACGCAGCGAAAUGCGAUAAGUAGUGUGAAUUGCAGAAUUCAGUGAAUCAUCGAAUCUUUGAACGCACAUUGCGCCCCUUGGUAUCCCGAGGGGCAUGCCUGUUCGAGCGUCAUUUCACCACUCAAGCCUGGCUUGGUGUUGGGCGACGUCCCCUUUGGGGACGCGUCUCGAAACGCUUGGCGGCGUGGCACCGGCUUUAAGCGUAGCAGAAUAUUUCGCUUUGAAAGUCGGGGCCCCGUCUGCCGGAAGACCUACUCGCAAGGUUGACCUCGGAUCAGGCAGGGAUACCCGCUGAACUUAAGCAUAUCAAUAA